UUCGUCUGUCUGGGAUAAUUUGGGAUAUCCUCAGGAUAAAGUGUGCUGUGUGGGUUAAAUUACAUCCCAGCAAACACCAAAUAUAAAUGCAAUAUAACGUGGGAGUAACAUGUAAUGUAACAGAUGUUACACUCUAUUUAUAUUAUAGUUACGAAACUUUACUACAUAUAUGUGAUGUAACAAAGUUAUGAAGCUAUAAUAUUACUCCGUUAUUUGUAUGUUACAAUAACCGAACAGUGAUGUAACCACAAUGUUGCGUGGUUACACAACAAUUGUUUUAUUUAUGUUAUAUGGAUAUUAUAAAAUUUGAAUCUUGUGAGACUCUAACCUCAAUCGCACAACGUACAUCUCGUGCUAUUAGGCGCGCUUUCCGCUAGUGGAUGCUAUAAUGACGAAAGAGAAACGUUGUUUUCUUGCAACUUGACUUUAAUCAGAUCCAUCAUACAAUUUCGACAAAAUUGUAUACGCUGCUUAUUCGAUGCAUUUUUGCACAAAAUGAACAAAAAAGUAUGGCAAAUAAAAGUUCUACUCCAUCUUGCGAAGCAAUAAAUUUAUCGUUAAAGUUAAAACUAACAGAUAUGUAUAUUACCAAACCUAUUAUUGACAAAAUACAUAGCGAUAUGUUUCCUGUUUUGAUCCGCACAACUACAUAUUUUUAUAUUUAAAUAAUGUAUUUCUUAAGUAAAUUUAAAGAUAAUUUAUUAUUUGGGCUGCUAGUUUUACAUACAUUUCUAGUUACAAAAGUCACCUAGCAUAUGUGUAAAUCAUGCAAUAUAUAAAGGCAGUUAUAAACUUAUAAAUAUAAUUUAUAAAGACGUAUCAUAUUAAAACUAAUUUUAUAUUACAGGAUUCUGCCAAUUAUUCUUACAUCAUUUGGACAACUGUUCUUCUUAAAAUUUAAAAGAACGUAAAGAAUAACUGAAGUUUAUAAAAGCUGAAGAAAUUUUCACAAGGAUUAGAACAGAAAACUGAACUCAAAUGGAAGCGCUUGCACUCUCAUGUCACUAUCAUGUCCUGACAAUUUCGGAUUUUAUAAAACUAUAGGAGAUGUGAUUGACGUUGAGAUUGUGAUUGACAUCUGGAGCAGAGCUAUAAUUUUGUUUAACAUUACAUGAAGUUUAUUUAAUGUUUUUCUCUUAUUUUCCCUCGUUUUUUGUUUUUAAAAGUUAUUUUUAAAAUAUUUUACUAAUAAUCAUAAAGUAUAA